AUUCCUCAAAACCUCAUUGUUUUCAAUGGCACUAGCAGCUGCCCACAGGGAGUAUCAUUGAGAUGAAAUAGUGUGUGAUCUAGAGAAACCUAGACAUCCGCCCCAUUAAAUUAGGUGAUUUAGGAUCUAGGGGAUCAUCACAAGGUGGGGGAGGGUCCGAAGCUGGCCACCAGUGGA
ensembl:ncRNA K01A6.20 ncRNA